AGCAGCCGCGGUAAUUCCAGCUCCAAUAGCGUAUAUUAAAGUUGUUGCAGUUAAAAAGCUCGUAGUUGAAUUUCGGGAUUGACGUGAUGGUCAUGCCUUAAGGGGUAUGAACUGUUACUGUUGAUUUCUCACCUUCUGGAGAAACUUGAUGUCCUUUAUUGGGUGUCUUGCGGAUCCAGGACCUUUACCUUGAAAAAAUUAGAGUGUUUAAAGCAGGCAUUUUUGCUCGAAUACAUUAGCAUGGAAUAAUAGAAUAGGACGGCAUGGUUCUAUUUUGUUGGUUUCUAGGAUCACCGUAAUGAUUAAUAGGGAUAGUUGGGGGCAUUAGUAUUCAAUUGUCAGAGGUGAAAUUCUUGGAUUUAUUGAAGACUAACUACUGCGAAAGCAUUUGCCAAGGAUGUUUU
rnacentral:rRNA from 1 species